rnacentral:rRNA from 1 species
UACGUAGGGUGCAAGCGUUGUCCGGAAUUAUUGGGCGUAAAGAGCUCGUAGGCGGUCUGUCGCGUCUGCUGUGAAAACUCAGGGCUUAACCCUGAGCUUGCAGUGGGUACGGGCAGACUAGAGUGCGGUAAGGGAGACUGGAAUUCCUGGUGUAGCGGUGAAAUGCGCAGAUAUCAGGAGGAACACCGGUGGCGAAGGCGGGUCUCUGGGCCGUAACUGACGCUGAGGAGCGAAAGCAUGGGGAGCGAACAGG